rnacentral:rRNA from 1 species
AGUGAACGCUGGCGGUAGGCCUAACACAUGCAAGUCGAACGGCAGCACAGUAAGCGCUUGCUCUUACGGGUGGCGAGUGGCGGACGGGUGAGGAAUACAUCGGAAUCUACUUUUUCGGGGGGGAUAACGUGGGGAAACGUACGCUAAUACAUCAUACGACCUACGGGUUAAAGCAGGGGAUCUUCGGACCUUGCGCGAUUGAAUGAGCCGAUGUCGUAUUAGCUAGUUGGCGGGGUAAAGGCCCACCAAGGCGACGAUCGGUAGCUGGUCUGAGAGGAUGAUCAGCCACAUGGGAACGGGGACGCCGUCACGGCUACUACGGGAGGGAGCAGUGGGGAAUAUUGGACAAUGGGCGCAAGUCUGAUCCAGCGAUACCGCGUCGGUGAAGAAGGCCUUCGGGUUGUAAAGCCCUUUUGUUGGGAAAGAAAAGCAUCCGGUUCAUACCAAGCUGUUCUGACGGUACGCAAAGAAGAAGCACCGGCUAACUUCGUG